rnacentral:rRNA from 1 species
AACGAACGCUGGCGGCGUGCUUAACACAUGCAAGUCGAACGGAAAGGCCCUGCUUUUGUGGUGUGCUCGAGUGGCGAACGGGGAAGUAACACGUGAGUAACCUGCCCUUUACUUUGGGAUAACUUCAGGAAACUGGGGCUAAUACCGGAUAGGAGCUCCUUCUGCAUGGUGGGCGUUGGAAAGUUUCGGCGGUUGGGGAUGGACGCGCGGCUUACCAGCUUGUUGGUGGGGUAGUGGCUUACCAAGGCUUUGACGGGUCGCCGGCCUGAGAGGGUGACCGGCGACAUUGGGACUGAGAUACGGCCCAGACUCCUACGGGAGGCAGUAGUGGGGAAUAUUGUACAAUGGGCGGAAGCCUGAUGCAGAAACGCCGCGUGCGGGAUGACGGCCUUCGGGUUGUAAACCGCUUUCGCCUGUGACGAAGCGUGAGUGACGGUAAUGGGUAAAGAAGCACCGGCUAACUACGUG